AAAUAUGCUUUAUAGAUAGCACAGGUUCAGGAGAAAGGGUUUCCCCCCUAUGCAAUUAUUGAUGAUACGGGUGUGGAUUUUAAGAUCAAGCUGCUCACUGUUGGUGGGAAGAAGUUGAAGCUUACAAUUUGGGAUACCGCUGGACAAGAGAGGUUCAGGACCUUGACAAGCUCAUACUACAGAGGUGCUCAAGGGAUCGUUCUUGGUAUGUCAUGGAUAGAUCACUAUAGAUUCUUUCAUAUUUAUGAAGCCUUUUUGUCAUCCUGCAAAAUAAGUUAUUCUUUUAAGACGUGA